rnacentral:rRNA from 1 species
GACGAACGCUGGCGGCGUGCUUAACACAUGCAAGUCGAACGGUGAAGCUCCAGCUUGCUGGAGUGGAUCAGUGGCGAACGGGUGAGUAACACGUGAGCAACCUGCCCCUGACUCUGGAAUAAGCGCUGGAAACGGCGUCUAAUACUGGAUACGAGAAGGGUCCGCAUGGGCACUUUCUGGAAAGUUUUUCGGUUGGGGAUGGGCUCGCGGCCUAUCAGCUUGUUGGUGAGGUAAUGGCUCACCAAGGCGACGACGGGUAGCCGGCCUGAGAGGGCGACCGGCCACACUGGGACUGAGACACGGCCCAGACUCCUACGGGAGGCAGCAAUGGGGAAUAUUGCACAAUGGGCGAAAGCCUGAUGCAGCGACGCCGCGUGAGGGAUGACGGCCUUCGGGUUGUAAACCUCUUUCAGCAGGGAAGAAGCGAAAGUGACGGUACCUGCAGAAGAAGCACCGGCUAACUACGUG